rnacentral:rRNA from 1 species
GACGAACGCUGGCGGCGUGCCUAAUACAUGCAAGUAGGACGCAGUUGCGAACGGGUGAGUAACGCGUAGGUAACUGCCUAUUAGAGGGGGAUAACUAUUGGAAACGAUAGCUAAUACCGCAUACUAGUAGAUGGACCUGCGUUGUAUUAGCUAGUAGGUAGGGUAAUGGCCUACCUAGGCGACGAGACAUAGCCGACCCGAGAGGGUGAUCGGCCAAACGGGGAAUGAUGCACGGCCCAGACGCCGACGGGAGGCAGCAGGAGGGAAGCAUCGGAAAUGGGGGGAACCCUGACCGAGCAACGGCGCGGGAGUGAAGAAGGUUUUCGGAUUGUAAAGCUCUGUUGUUAAGGAAGCGGUACUUAACCAGAAAGGGACGGCUAACUACGUGCCAGCCGCCGCGGUAAUAC